CACGUAGGGCGCAAGCGUUGUCCGGAAUUAUUGGGCGUAAAGAGCUCGUAGGCGGCUCAUUGCGUCAACCGUGAAAACCUGCCGCUCAACGGUAGGCUUGCGGUUGAUACGGGUGGGCUGGAGUUCGGUAGGGGAGACUGGAAUUCCUGGUGUAGCGGUGAAAUGCGCAGAUAUCAGGAGGAACACCGGUGGCGAAGGCGGGUCUCUGGGCCGAUACUGACGCUGAGGAGCGAAAGCGUGGGGAGCGAACAGG
rnacentral:rRNA from 1 species